rnacentral:rRNA from 1 species
GGUGAACGCUGGCGGCGUGCCUAAUACAUGCAAGUCGAGCGAACGGACGAGAAGCUUGCUUCUCUGCUGUUAGCGGCGGACGGGUGAGUAACACGUGGAUAACCUACCUCUAAGACUGGGAUAACUUCGGGAAACCGGAGCUAAUACUGGCUAAUAUUUUGAACCGCUUGGUUCAAAAGUGAAAGACGGUCUUGCUGUCACUUAUAGCUGGUUCCGGGUUGCAUUAGCUAGUUGGUAAGGUAACGGCUUACCAAGGCAACGAUGCUUAGCCGACCUGAGAGGGUGAUCGGCCACACUGGAACUGAGACACGGUCCAGACUCCUACGGGAGGCAGCAGUAGGGAAUCUUCCGCAAUGGGCGAAAGCCUGACGGAGCAACGCCGCGUGAGUGAUGAAGGUCUUCGGAUCGUAAAACUCUGUUAUUAGGAAAGAACAGAUGUGGAAUUAACUGUGCACAUCUUGACGGUACCUAAAGAAAAAGCCACGGCUAACUACGUG